CGCAUGAGGGCCUAUCUCGACACGCCAAAGUAUUGGGAUAGCUCGCCCGACCAUGCUGUUUAUACGACAUGUCGUAUUAUACAGCCUUGGCAGGCAUGCUCAUGUGCUGAGCAGGCCAUGUGGGUGGGCCUCUACUUCGCCCUGUUGGUCAAAGUAGAAAGGGUUUUUUUUUUUGCCUCGGCUGGGUGGAGGACCAGAUGGCUCAAGUUGGGUUAACGAGCCUUAUUUGGAUGGGAUAGCUCAAGAUGGAUGGGCUAUGUGCGUGUAACUGAUUCCAUGUGCAGGGCCCAUGGGCCACUUGGUCUGUGCAGGCGGGGCUACUGCCCUACCUAAACUCACAUGUGUGCGGGCCUUACUAUGCAUAUGCUUGGUGCGCGUAUGUGAGCCGCCCAUGGGUGAGGCAUCCUUGGGCCAUGACACAUCUUGCCAAUAAAGCCUUAAGGCCUUCUCGGGUUGGGCCCAAAACUUGGAAUUCAUUUAAUUCUUCAAAUCCAUU
rnacentral:lncRNA from 1 species